UCUCCUGAGACCGGGCACUUACUGUCCGA
rnacentral:sRNA from 1 species